rnacentral:rRNA from 1 species
AGAGUUUGAUCCUGGCUCAGGACGAACGCUGGCGGUGUGCUUCACACAUGCAAGUCGAGCGGAUGAAAACAGUAGCUUGCUACUGUUGGAUUUAGCGGCGGACGGGUGAGUAAUAUAUAGGAAUCUGCCCUAAUGCGGGGAACAACAGACCGAAAGGUCUGCUAAUGCCCCAUAGGUAUGCAGUCUUCGGAUUGUAUAUUAAAGGAGUAAUCCACUUUAGGAUGAGCCUGUAUCCGAUUAGCUUGUUGGCGGGGUAAUGGCCCACCAAGGCUACGAUCGGUAGUUGGUCUGAGAGGAUGAUCAGCCACAAUGGGACUGAGACACGGCCCAUACUCCUACGGGAGGCAGCAGUGGGGAAUUUUACACAAUGGGGGAAACCCUGAUGUAGCGACACCGCGUGAACGAAGAAGCCUUUUGGGGUGUAAAGUUCUGUCGGCUGGAACGAAAAAAAUGACGGUACCAGCAAAGGAAGCAUCGGCUAACUACGUGCCAGCAGCCGCGGUAAGACGUAGGGUGCGAGCGUUGUCCGGAUUUAUUGGGCGUAAAGAGUUCGUAGGCGGUUAUUUAAGUCUGAUGUUAAAUACUGUGGCCUAACCACAGAACUGCAUUGGAUACUGGAUGACUUGAGUGCGGUAGAGGCAAGUGGAAUUCCCAGUGUAGCGGUGAAAUGCGUAGA